GGAAGUCUCUCUGAUGGCUAGCUCUCCUCAUCCUGGAAGGUACCAUUUGGGAAGAGAACUGUCAUAAAAAUUCUCACUCAGCUGUCUGUCCAGUGCGCUGCACAACCAACCAGCCAGGAAAUAAGCACCUACGGCUGCAAUAGGGCCGAGCCGGUGAUGGAGGCAACCGCACUCUGAUCAGAUUAAACGCCUGCCCACGAGAGGAUUCCACAUCUGGUGCUAUAGACUUGGUCCCCACAAAUAGCCCAUGGUAGGGGAGGUCACGGGAGGAUGCUACUCCUUGACUCUGUUAAGUGGGUAUGAUCUGCCCAUCAAAUUCCCAUAUAAAGAUUUGUGUCCGUGCUCACCACUCAUGCUACUGUGUGGAGGGUAAGAGACUGCCGAAUGCGCAGCCAUGAUGGAACUUUUAUAUCACCCUCCUAAGGCUCAGGAAACAUUGCAGAAGAUGGAACGGGAAGAGAGACUAAACAAGCCAGAAGCAGGAGAGGAGUGAGGGAGGAGCAUGAGGAACCCAGUCCUUUAGACUGCCUCUGUCUCCUGGCCUCUAUCAUGGAAAUACCCAACGUGAAUAAAUGAAACAAGAGCUGAAGCAUUCCCUAGCUACCUGUAGGCCACCAUGACAUAAUCAUCUGCUAAGUCCCAACUCGUGUCAGAAGACUCAGGAGUGUCUACAAACUCCUGUGUGGACUGUACUGGUCUCCAGAAAGAGGCAAGCUGGCCAGAGACUCAGUGCAAACUGGUGAGAGACCUGAGCUCCGUAAGCAGACAAAGUGACAUCAAUACUCUUAGUAGCUGAAUGAGAGAAUGCCCAUUUUCCAUACAGGGGACAGGAAGGCACCUGCAGCUGCUCUGACACCCGAAUACUCUGUGGCUAGAAGACCUGUGCGCCACUUGCCUGGAGCCAGCCUCCCAGACAGAACUGCCUCCAUUGCAGAAAGCAACACACACACACACACAGAGAGAGAGAGAGAGAGAGACGCACGACUGUGUCCAAAUGGAUUACUCCUGUCUGCCCAGGAGUGCAUGUCAUUGUCAACAUCAAACACUCCCCAGCUCUGCUCUGGCAGCACCUGCCCUAUUGAUGGACGCUUCUGAGCCGUCACUCACAGAAGGCACUUAAUCCUGUAUGACUUCAAAAGCAAGGUGCGGAUUCUGACUCACAGGACUGGAAGUAACUUUCUCUUGACCACACAACCCGGAGAUCACACAUGAGGCACAUCUGGAUGAGGCACUUCUAGAACCCCAGCAAAGCCCAGGACUUGACUGGUUCCUCCUUUUAUACCCUGAAACCUGACAGCCAAGCUACCAUGGCAUGCAACAGACUCCUGGAGGUUCUUUUAGUGUACGCAAGAAGGAUUUAUUGUAUAUCACUGAAAAAUAAUAUAUCUUUUAUCUUGUAGUUGAACAAACUCCUUUGGAGCUUAUGUGUUAGUGAAAAAUCCUUCUUUCGUGUAUAAUGAAAGAAGCCCCGCCUACAGGAGAGUUAGCAUUUUCUAUUUCCUUUUUCAAACUGAUAGUAAAAUAGGAGGAAAAGGCUGAUUCUCUUUGCUGAUGUCGAGUGUGGUAGAAAGGGUGUGAAAAGAGAGCUUGUGAACAAAGGUGACUUUCGGAGUCACACUUCUGUGUAAAUUCUGUAAACUUGUACAUGAGUGUGAAACAGCAGUAACAGUUUCUACUCGCUGUAGAGACUUGCCUAUAGCAGUUCUUGCAUAUGCACACACACACACACACACACACAAUGAUUUCAUCUCCAAGCCCAGGUUUAUCCCGUGCUGUUUGAAAAUGUCCAUUACUCCCUGUUUCAGUAACUAAACAGCUCUCAGUAUCGAAUGAGUUUACAAUCACCUACUUUUUAAAAAGGCUAGAUGGUUUAGUGUAGAUAUGAUAUCCCUGCCCAGUCACAAUAUAGUAUUAACUAGUUUCAUCUAAAUAUUUUCUUUCCAUUGUCUAAUAAAAAUCAUAUUUUACUGAACACAUGAGUUUUGAUGGCAAAGACGUAGAGAACAACAGAGUUCACAAACAAAUUUUAAAAAAAUAGAAUUCUCUCAAGCUAUUUAAGAAGGCCACAAUAAAGAAGCAAAACUAAAGCAAGUAGAGCCCGGAGCGCGGGAGAUGCGUCUUUAUUUACCAUAAAGUUUUGGCGUAAGGCUAACUUUAUCUCCCCAAAAGAGGAGAGAAUGUUUACCUUCUCUCUCCUCCAUUGUGAUCCCUUGAUCUCCUUAAAUCAUUGGCCUCCGCUGAAUAGAGCCUGUGUUUAUUUAUUCAUUGAUAAACAAGUAUAUAUUUAACUA